AUUGGGUAUGAGGAUAAAUUUCCAUUUUUUCUGAUGUUGAAUGAUGAACAAACAUGCACUACCAUCUGACCCAUU